GCAACAGCAAGAAAGCGCUUCGACCAUGGCAUCAUAUGAGUGCAACAGAGACUUUCCAGUCGAGAUAAUUCCCUCUUCAUGCGCAAGACAUAGCAUUAAGUGUCGCAAAAUAAUUGUGGAGAAAAUACGACGAGACCGAAUCAGCAACAGCAUCGAGGAGCUGAGGACAUUACUUCAAACAAACCAAACAAACCAGUGUCCAGAGCAGCCCAGCGCCAGACUCGAGAAAGCUGACAUUUUGGAGAUGGCUGUGCAAUUCCUGAGGGAACAAGCAUCUUCAAAAUCAAAUGAAAGCUAUCAAAGUGGUUUUUCGCACUGUCUGCAAGAAACACUCCGUCACCUGUCUUUGCACGCACCACUGCAACCUGCGGAGAGGGAGCAGAUUAAACGUUUUUAUGUUCAUCAGCGGACCAGCAUGCACACGCGUCUGUCAACGGAGCCGCGCGCCCAGUUUUGCAUGCCAUCAAAGCGACAUUCAACAUUAAGAGUGCGGAAAUCUUUGUGGAGACCAUGGUAAAAUGCACUACGAAAAUGGUCUAUCCCACUGGACUUUGGGGUCCGACAUUAGUUUAAAGAGUGAAAAUGAUUUUCUCCGGCAAUUCACAUUUAGUCUACAUUAGCCUACGUGUGUGAUGAGCAAUGAGGUAUUGACUGAAUUCUCUCAAUUAAGCGUAAUUGCCUUUCGUAAAGGCGUUGUGUGACAUGAUGUAGCCUACCCCCAAGAUCAAAUUCAACAAUGAUUGUUUUCAAAUCAUGUUGUAUUGAUGACACUUAUUAAACAUUCCUUGUAUUUAA